GUAAGAUUGGGGAAGAUGCCAGGUGAUAGAAUCCACCCUGCCUCUGACAGCAUCCAAUCUGGAGCAAAGGCUUCUUUCAACCCUCCGCCAAGCUCCCAAUACAAGCCCAAAUUCUGGAACAAGUCUUUUCCAACACCUCCUUCAGAGAAACUCCCUGGCUCCAGGCAGGGCUUGCUCCCCUCACUGCAGCAGGAAGCCCAGCUUGCGAACUGCAGGUGUGCUCCAGGUGGUCACUGGAUGCAGGGUAUUGACAGAUGGAUCCCAUCGAUACCCCCACUGCAUAACCAUAGUGCAGUGAAUAGAAGACACUUCUCUGCACCCCAAAAGCUCCAUGCUGAUUGCGAGAAGGAAAUGCUGGAUGGAGGGGUUCCUGGAACUACUGUGAGGGUUUCUUUUGAUUUCUCCUGCUUAGAAAUGGUGAGAGAACUUUGGAUGUGGAAUGUGGAGUAGGAGGAACACGAAGUGGGGAUCUGCACUUGGGGUGGUCAGCACUGCGGAUGCCCAGCAAAGGCACUGCCUGGUCCACAUCCCGGAGUGGUCUCUGCGCCCGAGUCGACAUCGCAGCUGAUGGUGAAACUUUUGGUGUGGCAGAAGAGUGUCCACAAACUUUGGAAGAUCGCUGCUCAGAGUGAUGAAUGGCGUUGUAUUUUGAAUAAAAUAUCUAAGCAUCCUUUUGUGAGCAAGGAGCAUGAUGGUUGGUACUUAGACCUACCAUUUCUCGUUACAGUGGUUAUGGUUACAGUGGGGCUGGGGUGUUUACCUGGAGCCUGGACGUCCACUGGGACAUGAUACCCACUGGGAUUUUUUUGUGUCAACCUGGUCUAUGAUGUCCACCUGGGGACUGGGUAUCCACCUAAGGCCUGAUGUUUACCUGGAGCCAGAUGUGCACCUGAGGCCUGCUGUCUAUCUGUGGCUUAUGUUCACCUGGGGACCGAUGCACACCUGAAGCAUAGGUAUUCACCUGGGGCCUGAUAUCCACCUGUAGUAUGGGUGUCAACCUUGGGGCUGAUGUUCAGCUGGCGUCCACUGUCUACCUGGGGCCUGGUGUACACAUGGGGCCUGGGCAUCCACCUGAGACUUGAUGUUUAAUAUGGUCUGGAGUUUUCUUGGGGCCUGUUUCCCCCUGGAGCCUGGGUGUACAUAUGGAGCCUGAUGUCCCAGGUGGACACCUGGGUCCCAGGUGAUCUUCAGGCCCUAGGUGAAAACUCCAGGCUCUAAGUGGACAACCAGGCCCCAGGCUGAUGUUUACUGGGGCCAGAUGUCUACCAGGCCCCAGGUGAAAACUCCAGGCUCCAAGUGGACAACAUGGCUCCAGGUUCCAGGUAGACACUGGAAUCCAAAUCAACACCAGGCCCCAGAUGGACACCCAGGCCUGUGGUGGACAUCAGACUUCAGAAGGUCAUCUGGCUCGAGGUGGACAUCAAGCCCCAGGUGGAUACCUAGUCCCCAGGUGGAUAUCAGGUCCCACUUUGACACCAGUCCCUGGGUAGAUACCUAGGCCUCAGGUGGAUAUCCAGUCUCUAGCUAAGCAUCAGGCUCCAGGGGGACCCAGGCCCCAGCUGACUGGGGACUAGUGUUCAUAUGGGGCUACAUGUCCAUCUGGGCCCUAGGUGUCAACUUGUAGCCUGAUGUCAACCUGGGAGCUGGUGUUCACCAGAGGACUAAAGUCCUCCUGGUGGCGGAUGUCCAACUUGGGACUUUGUGUCCACCUGGAGACUGAUGUCCACUUGGGACCAGAUGUCCAACUGGAGCAAGAUGUCCACCUGUAGCCUAGAACUUCACCUAAGGCCUGAUGUUCCCCAGGGCCUACAGGGCUUGUGUAUCUACCUAGGGACUUGUGUCCAGGUGGGGCCUGAGUUCCAUCUGGGGCCUGGAAUUAACCUGGGACCUGAUGUCCACCUGAGGCCUGGGUGUUCCUCUGGAGUCUGAUAUCUAUCUGGGGCCUAGGUGUCCUCCUAUGGUCUGAUGUCCACUUGUAGGCUGGUGUCCACCUGGGGCCUGGGUGUCCACCUAGGAACCUGAUGUAAACCUGAAGUCCAGUAUCUACCUGGGUACUGAUGUCUACCAGGAAAGUGAUAUAAACCUGGGGCCUGAUAGCCACCUGGGCCCUGAGUGUCCACAUAUGUUCUGAUUUCUGCUUUUGGCCUGAGUGUAGGGCCUGAGUGCCACCUGGGUCCUGAUGUUCACCAGGAACCUAGGUAUUCACUUGGGGCUUGAUGUUCACCUGGGACCUAAUGUCCACGUGAGACCUGGUAUUCAGCUAGAGCCUGGGCAUCCACCUGUGGCCUGAUGUUCAGUUGGCGACUGGGAAUUCCACUAAGGCUUGAUGUCCACCUGGGGACUUGUGGCCUAGUGUUGCCCUGAAGCCUAGGUGUCAACCCAGGGCAUAAUGUCUUCUUGGGGCCUGCUGUCCACCUGCAGACUGGUGUCUGCAUAGGGCCUGGUAUCCACCUGGGGUCUGGCGUCUGCGUGGGGCCUAGUGUCCACCCGAAGACUGAGUAUAGACCUCAGACCUGAUGUAUGCCUGGGGCCUAUUUAUCCACCUGGGGGCUAGCAUUCAUCUGGGGCCUCAUGUCCACUUAAGCCCUGGGUGUCAACCUGGUGCCUAAUGGCCACCAGGGAUCUAUGUACUCACUUGGGGCCUGGUGCUCCCACAGGGCCUAGGUAUACACCUGGGGAAUGAUGUGCAGGUGGAGGUGGAUGUCUUCCUGGGUGCUGGUGUUCACCUGGGGACAAGGGUCUCCUUGGGGACCGGUGUUUAUCGGGAGCCUCAUAUGCACCUUGAACCUGCUGUCUACCUAGGGCCUGAUGUCCAUGUUAAGGCUGGGUGUCCACCUGGGACCUGGUUGUCCACUUGGGGCCUAAUGUCCACCUAAAACCUGGUGUUCACCUAGGGCCUGGGUGUCCACCUGGAGCCUGAUGUUCAGCUGGAGAUGCAUCCACCCGAGACCUAGGUACCACCCAGGGUCUGGUGUCGAACGGGGGCCUUAUGUCCACCUGGGGACUAGAUAUCUACCCGAGGCUUGAUGUCCACCUGGAGCCCGAUAUCCACCUCAGAGCUGGGUGUCCACCCAGGUUCUGGUAUCCACCCGGAGCCUGGUGUUCAUCUGGGGCCCAGUGCCCACCUGGAACCUGGGUAUCACCAUGGGGCCUGGGUGUCCACUUGGAGCGUGAUGUGCACCUGGGCCUGAGUUUCCACCUAGGGCCUGAUGACCACCUGAGACCCAGGUGUCCACCUGGGGUCUGAUGUCUACCUGAAGCCUAGGUAACCACCUAGGGCAUGGUGUUACCUGUGCCUUGAUUUCCACCUGAGCCUGGUGUACACCUGGGGCCUGGGUGUCCAUCUGAGAUCCGAUGUACACCUCAAGUCCAGUGUCCACUUGUGGCCUGAUGUCAACUUGGAAGCUGAUAUCCACCUGGGGACUGAUGUUCUCCUGGGGCCUGAUAUCCAACUGGGAUCAGAUGUUCACCUAAGGCCUGCAGUUAAUCUGGGGCCUGAUGGUCACCAGGGUCCCAGGUGUCCACCUAGGGCCUAGUGUCCAACUAGGGCCUGAUGUCCACCUGGAGUCUAGUAUCCGCCUUGGCCUUGAUGCUACUUGAGGCCUGGGUGUCUUCCUAGAACCUGAGUCCCCAAUUGGGCCCUGAUGUCCACCUGAGGCCUGGUGUCCUUACAGGGUCUGAUAUCUACCUAAGGCCUGGGUAUCCUCCUGCAGCCUGAUGCUCACCUGUAGGCUGGUGUCCAUAUGGGGCCUGGGUGUCUACCUGUGAGCCUGAUGUACACCUGGAGUCCAGUGUCCCCUUGGUUACUAAUAAGUACCAGGAAAAUGGUAUAUACCUGGGGCCUGAUAUACACCUGGAGCCUGCAUGUCCACUUGAGCCCUGAUGUCCACCUGGGGCCUAUAUUCACCCACUACCCAAAGUCAAGUUGGGAAAAGGGCCCAGAAUAGGUGAGGAG
rnacentral:lncRNA from 1 species